GCUUGGCGGCAGCUACACAUGCAGUCGAGCGGUAACAGAUCCAGCUUGCUGGAUGCUGACGAGCGGCGGACGGGUGAGUAAUGCAUAGGAAUCUGCCCGAUAGUGGGGGAUAACCUGGGGAAACCCAGGCUAAUACCGCAUACGUCCUACGGGAGAAAGGGGGCUUCGGCUCCCGCUAUCGGAUGAGCCUAUGUCGGAUUAGCUAGUUGGUGAGGUAACGGCUCACCAAGGCCACGAUCCGUAGCUGGUCUGAGAGGAUGAUCAGCCACAUCGGGACUGAGACACGGCCCGAACUCCUACGGGAGGCAGCAGUGGGGAAUAUUGGACAAUGGGGGGAACCCUGAUCCAGCCAUGCCGCGUGUGUGAAGAAGGCCCUCGGGUUGUAAAGCACUUUCAGCGAGGAAGAACGCCUAGCGGUUAAUACCCGCUAGGAAAGACAUCACUCGCAGAAGAAGCACCGGCUAACUCCGUGCCAGCAGCCGCGGUAAUACGGAGGGUGCAAGCGUUAAUCGGAAUUACUGGGCGUAAAGCGCGCGUAGGUGGCUUGAUAAGCCGGUUGUGAAAGCCCCGGGCUCAACCUGGGAACGGCAUCCGGAACUGUCAAGCUAGAGUGCAGGAGAGGAAGGUAGAAUUCCCGGUGUAGCGGUGAAAUGCGUAGAGAUCGGGAGGAAUACCAGUGGCGAAGGCGGCCUUCUGGACUGACACUGACACUGAGGUGCGAAAGCGUGGGUAGCAAACAGGAUUAGAUUCCGG
rnacentral:rRNA from 1 species